rnacentral:lncRNA from 1 species
AGGUUCACUCACCAACCACGGCACACGAACCUUUUCCAGCAUACAUCAUUGACUUGCUCAAGUCGGAGCCCUAAAUUACAAAUAUCAAGUCAAGCAAAUGAAUUCUAAACUUAACAAGUUCCUGCCACCUUUUGGCAUUUUAAUCACAUUUGAAACUACGCUUAUCCGAUUGAAAUGAUUCUUAGGGCGUUACGAAGCUAAGACAUAAACCAACAUUUCUUAUGAAGACUUCCAAAGUCAAAACGUACAAUUUCAGGGUCAAAUAUCGAAAUCUAGGAGAGGAUAGAAAACUGUCCGCAAAACAGGGUCUAUGAACAGUCAGGGGCAAUUCAGUCAUUUCUCAAGCUACAGAGGUCCAAACAAUCUGAAAUUUUGCAGGUAGGUAUUUAACUCAUAUAUCUACAAGUUUUAUGUUUUGGACAAGGGCCGAAUCAGUCUCUCUCAAGGUCAACUGUACGAUGCAAAAACAGGGCAGAGUACUACCCCUAAGCUGGAAUUCAUGUAUUCUAGCUAAAAUUCUUUUGGCACCCAAACGAGCAUACCACACUUUAUUUAUCACACUAUCAAAACAUCAAUCUAUCAUCAACCACUACUUAUCACAUGAGGCAGAAAUAAUACCAUAAAAACCAAUCCUUGCAAUAACCAUCACUACUUGUAAUUAAGAGCUAGUGAUCCCAUCUUAGAUCAAAGGUGAAACCACUUGAAUAAAAUCCGGAAAUAUCACUAACAUGGAGUUUCGUCAUCCCAACUUCCAAAUCACAAGAAUUUCCAUAAAAUUAAUCAAGAUCAACUCAAAUUCAAAACAAUCAUAUAUUCUCAAAAUUGGACGGCAUUUCCUCUUAAUUUCUUCAUUUCCAACCUACCAUUCAAUACCACACAUACCUCAAUUCAACCCCAUUUUUACAUACAAUUUAUAGACUAGAAAAUAUACUUAAUUAGGGCCACAAUACCCCUUAAUCAAAGCCAAUAAACCAAUCACAAGAAAAUCCCCAAUUUAAACCCUAACAACCGGAAUUCACACCACAAGCGUAAAUUUUUCGCAAACAACCGCAAUUAACACACAAGAGCUUCAUUUAACACCAUAACAAGCUAUCAAUUCAAGACCAAUCCAUAAUUAUAAUCUAAAAUCAGAAAAAUCCUAAUAAAUCAGAAAAUCACCAUAAAUUCCUUCAACCCAUGAAAUACUUCACAAAACAACAUAUAUCCACCACCACAAGCCACUUAUUAACCAAUACUAGAACAAAGGAAACUUGUAUAUUCACUUACCCCAAAUUCAAGAGAGCUUUCAACUUAGAGCUUCCCCUUGAAAACCAAUCCAUCAAAAGCUUAGAACCACCAUAGUGCACCCUUGUGUGGAGUAGCUUCCAAAACCAUCGGUGAAAUCACAAGAUUUUGGUAGAAAUUGAAACUAGAAAAUUGAAGAGUUUCUUCUUCUCUCAAGAGCUCGGUUGAGCAGGGAACAAAAUGAGAUAUUUUGGGGUGCAAAACAGUUAAAAAGGAAGAGAAAUCAGCUGGUCAAAAGUUGAUGGCCGACAUGCCACGUCACAAUCCGGCCGGAAUCUGGCCGGAUUUCCGGCCGGAUUCGAGGCAGAAUCGAAACCAAUUUUUUUUUCAAAACUGCAAGGCAAUCCGGCCAGCUAUCCGGCCAGAAACUGGCCGGAUUUGGCCCCCUUCACGUUUCCAAAAUUUUUUCUUCUUUUCCAAGUUUAAAAGCUGCGCUCCUCCGCUCGUCCAACAAAAAGAUCCAUAAAAUGAAAAUCCUACUUUUCGGGGCGUCACAAUCUCCCCUCCUUAAAAGAAUGUCGUCCUCGACAUUCCAACUCAUAUACAUCCAGUCAAGAUAUCGCUCAGAAACCAAUCAAGCAUUAGAAUUCAAUCUAAUCCAACUUGUAUUCACCCGGUCCCAUUAGUUUUUCCCCAAGGUCAGUCAAAUACUAAGAAUCAUUCUAAUCUCACUUAUCAUAUUUUCAUGAUCCAGUAAAGCAUGGCUUAUCAAAUAAUCACUUAUCAAAUUCAAGUACUAAAUAUCACGCCAAUCCAACUUAUCAAAUAGUCAUGAUCCAAUAGGGAGUUAAUCGCGUAACCAGAUAAAACAGGCAAAAGGCUUGAAGUCGGACGUAAAGUCCCAGGUAUUUGGAAGGAAUUCAGGAUAUAGCAAAGCUUUAGAUCGAAAAUUCAUCCCUGGUGGUGCUGGACAACACAACAAGCUAGCACAACGGCUACGCUUCACCAAAGAAUUUCAGUUCAGUAAGUUGGCCCUGGUGGUGCUGGACAACACAACAAGUUAGCACAACGGCUAUACUUCACCAAAAGCCUCAGUUCAAGUAUUUGUCCCUGGCGGUGCUGGACAACACAACAAGUUAGCACAGCGGCUAAACUUCGCCAGAGAGCCUCAGUUCAAAUAUUUGUCCCUGGCGGUGCUGGACAACACAACAAGUUAGCACAGCGGCUAAACUUCGCCAGAGAGCCUCAGUUCAAAAUUCCAUCCCUGGUGGUGCUGGACAACACAACAGGCAUGCCCCGCCAGAAGAAUGGCGGUGCUUGAAAACACAACAGGCACUGCCCCACCAGAGAGGUUCAGUUCAACCGCUACAGAAGAAUAGUAGCCGGUCUACAACCACAUGAGUACGAAUAAGUUCAAGAGUAGGGUCAAAGCAGAGUUCAGGUUCAUAGUGCACGAGUACGAAGAGGUUCAAAAGCAGGGUCAAAUAUUGCCAGUUCAGGGAGCACGAGCACAAGUAAGAGCACAAGUUCAAGUUCAAGGAUCAUAAGUACGAGUAAGAACACACUAAUCUAGCCUCUGUCCAGCAAUUCACAUUCUUAAGCAGUCACAAAUCCAAGUCCACAUUCCAUAUAUUCAGUCAAAUUAGGUCCAUUAAGGAUACGUAAGGGCACCUUAGACUAAACAGGUUCAAGUCUCAAGUAAGCUCAGUCUAAUUGGUCUCAAGCAGUUCAAGAUCUCUCACCAAACCAACGGAAUACUACCGGAGUUCAAACUUUCCUAAAAUUGAAAUAUGGUCACAGAACCAAUCGUAAUAUAUGUUGCGCACAAGAAAAUCUCACCAAGUUCCCGACUAGGUUAAUCUUUAAUACACUGGUAGAUCUGAUCUUCGGGUUUAUUCUCGAUUCAUUUUCAGUACUAGGGACCCCUCUCUCCCAUUCCUGCUACCAUACUUAAUAAAAGUCUAUAAGCACAAGAAAAGGAUCAACUAAGCAUAAAAGAACUUAAUGCGUAUACAAAUUGCAAAAACGUUUAAAAUCAGAUCAUGAUUCUUUACAUGUAUCAAAAGUUAUAACCCGAGUUAAAAGUCACAAAAUAAGGCCAAUAUGUCAGAUUUUGUAUAUAGACAAUUAAGUACCACAAAAGAUAAAAGCAUAUGUAAGCAAGAUACAAAAGCCUCACGACGUGCACCACCCUUCCUAGGUCUACCAAAUGGUCCAAUUAUUGCUAAUUUCAAUCAGAUCACAUGCCUUUACGAUAUCCAAUCAAUCCAUAACACAAGUUGAAACCAAAGGUUAUCCUUUUGAAGUUCAAAUCUUUAAUAACCAAGCCACCAGCCAGAGCACUAUCAUCUCUAAGAAUAACCAGUCCUAGGGUUUUAUAGUUAAAGUCUCAAUGUUCAAGGUCAAACCCACGAAAAAAAUACAACUUGCUAACUGACGUGUCAACUGGAAAUCAAGUCAAUUCACACUAACUUCGUACUCUUGAAUGCGGUUACUCUAUAUCUCAAAGUCCCUCAGUCCGUACACUUAAAGAUAGGCUUACCCUUCUAGAAAGUCAGGAAUUUUAAACCAUAAGUAAAGUAUAUAAAGCAACCCGAAACUUAUCAAGUUCAGGAUUUUCAUUAUAAUUACAAUAGCUCGCCAUCCUUUCGAAAAUUCAAGAUAUAUUUGUUUUUCAUGUAAAGCAUAGACAAAUUCAAGUGCGAGAAUAUGCCGGUAUACAAUCAAGGGGAAAACUUAGUUUAUAAAAUUUUAACCUUAUCCACCCAUCAUAUACAAAAUUCAACAACUCAUCAGUUAUUCACAAAUUUUCAAAUUUGAACUUCAAGUAAAAUUCACAUUUUUACUCAAAUCGGCAAAUUACACAUACUUAAAGCAGAUAUAUCUUAUUUCCAAUCAUCGCUUGCAAAUAAAACUAGUACAUCCUAGUUUUCUUUAAAAUUCCAAAGCAUAAUUUCUUUAGAAGGUAUGUGGGCGGAAAAAUGCAUUUUACUCGUUUGGUACUUUUUUUUUUAUCUUAGUUCAAAAUCAUCAUAGAUGGAGCUUAACCAUCAAAUCUCGGUCUCUUAUCCUCCAUAGCCAGUAAUAUAAGUACCUCAACUCUUGCCAUACUUAGAGGUAUAAGGAUAAUUCAAAUUCGUCCAAUCUUUCACUACAACUCUCUCAUCCCAUAUUUUCCUUCAAUAUAAAUCCCAAGUAAGAAACUCCCAAAUAAUCAAUUUCGUUAACCCCUAGGAUACGAUAGAUCCUCGUUCACAUAAUAUUCACAUAAAUCUCACAGUCAGGCAUCCUAAACUUUGAGCCUAGGAUACGCUACAGAGAUCUGAAGCCUAAGCUCUGAUACCAUUUGUGACGACCCCACCUCCCCCUAAGGCGAACCAGAGGGGUCGGCGGACCGCCUGCCCAGCUCUCGCCGGGACUCAGUCGUUCCCUACAGUCCUCAAUUAUAUUACAAUACAAAUCUCGAAUAUACAUCGAAUUCUUCAAGAAUUUCAUACCCCACAAGCGAAGCGGAACUAAUUCUAAUCGUGGAACGUACACGUACAUCCGAUCCAAAUCCAAACACCCAUGCAAGCCCAAAAUCACACAAGUUAAAUCAAAAAUCAAAGAGUACAAGAGAAAUCCAUCCAUUCCAAUUCAGACAGUCACCCUAGCUCAACUAUGAUACAAAACGGACUCAAAUUUAAACUAUACAAGAUACAUGCCAUCCAGGCACACAAAUAACGUAAUACAAGCGCUUCCUUUGCCUCGAUUCCUGUGGGGAGAAGAAAACAUUUGGGGGUGAGCUAGAAGCUCAGCGAGUGAACAGUAAAAUCGGUAAUCCAAUAAACUUAACAAUAAUGUAUUUAAGUGCUAUCAUGAAUUAGCGACCAAAUGUGCAUAUAAUGCUCUUUGGAGCCAGUGAAAAUCCUUGUACUUAAAUAUCCAACGCUCCCUUAGAUCAAGUAACCAGAUGAACAGAAAUAAGGAGCCAUCAUGCUCCAAAGAAUGCAUAAACAGUAGCGGAGACAUUGGUUUUAAGCACACGAUUUUUCCACGAACUCAUUGGAGCCAAAAUGUUAUGGCACACACACAUACACAAUGAGAUGCCAUCAUGUAAGCAAUGCAAGAAUUAUUUCAAAAAUAAAUUUUGGAGAAAUAGUUGAGGUUCACUCACCAACCACGGCACACGAACCUUUUCCAGCAUACAUCAUUGACUUGCUCAAGUCGGAGCCCUAAAUUACAAAUAUCAAGUCAAGCAAAUGAAUUCUAAACUUAACAAGUUCCUGCCACCUUUUGGCAUUUUAAUCACAUUUGAAACUACGCUUAUCCGAUUGAAAUGAUUCUUAGGGCGUUACGAAGCUAAGACAUAAACCAACAUUUCUUAUGAAGACUUCCAAAGUCAAAACGUACAAUUUCAGGGUCAAAUAUCGAAAUCUAGGAGAGGACAGAAAACUGUCCGCAAAACAGGGUCUAUGAACAGUCAGGGGCAAUUCAGUCAUUUCUCAAGCUACAGAGGUCCAAACAAUCUGAAAUUUUGCAGGUAGGUAUUUAACUCAUAUAUCUACAAGUUUUAUGUUUUGGACAAGGGCCGAAUCAGUCUCUCUCAAGGUCAACUGUACGAUGCAAAAACAGGGCAGAGUACUACCCCUAAGCUGGAAUUCAUGUAUUCUAGCUAAAAUUCUUUUGGCACCCAAACGAGCAUACCACACUUUAUUUAUCACACUAUCAAAACAUCAAUCUAUCAUCAACCACUACUUAUCACAUGAGGCAGAAAUAAUACCAUAAAAACCAAUCCUUGCAAUAACCAUCACUACUUGUAAUUAAGAGCUAGUGAUCCCAUCUUAGAUCAAAGGUGAAACCACUUGAAUAAAAUCCGGAAAUAUCACUAACAUGGAGUUUCGUCAUCCCAACUUCCAAAUCACAAGAAUUUCCAUAAAAUUAAUCAAGAUCAACUCAAAUUCAAAACAAUCAUAUAUUCUCAAAAUUGGACGGCAUUUCCUCUUAAUUUCUUCAUUUCCAACCUACCAUUCAAUACCACACAUACCUCAAUUCAACCCCAUUUUUACAUACAAUUUAUAGACUAGAAAAUAUACUUAAUUAGGGCCACAAUACCCCUUAAUCAAAGCCAAUAAACCAAUCACAAGAAAAUCCCCAAUUUAAACCCUAACAACCGGAAUUCACACCACAAGCGUAAAUUUUUCGCAAACAACCGCAAUUAACACACAAGAGCUUCAUUUAACACCAUAACAAGCUAUCAAUUCAAGACCAAUCCAUAAUUAUAAUCUAAAAUCAGAAAAAUCCUAAUAAAUCAGAAAAUCACCAUAAAUUCCUUCAACCCAUGAAAUACUUCACAAAACAACAUAUAUCCACCACCACAAGCCACUUAUUAACCAAUACUAGAACAAAGGAAACUUGUAUAUUCACUUACCCC